rnacentral:rRNA from 1 species
AUUGAACGCUGGCGGCAUGCCUUACACAUGCAAGUCGAACGGUAACAGGUCUUCGGACGCUGACGAGUGGCGAACGGGUGAGUAAUACAUCGGAACGUGCCCAGUCGUGGGGGAUAACUACUCGAAAGAGUAGCUAAUACCGCAUACGAUCUGAGGAUGAAAGCGGGGGACCUUCGGGCCUCGCGCGAUUGGAGCGGCCGAUGGCAGAUUAGGUAGUUGGUGGGAUAAAAGCUUACCAAGCCGACGAUCUGUAGCUGGUCUGAGAGGACGACCAGCCACACUGGGACUGAGACACGGCCCAGACUCCUACGGGAGGCAGCAGUGGGGAAUUUUGGACAAUGGGCGAAAGCCUGAUCCAGCAAUGCCGCGUGCAGGAUGAAGGCCUUCGGGUUGUAAACUGCUUUUGUACGGAACGAAAAAGUCUCCUCUAAUACAGGAGGCCCAUGACGGUACCGUAAGAAUAAGCACCGGCUAACUACGUGCCAGCCGCCACAGUAAUAC